CGCCGGUGGUUUGUGUGAGCUGAGGGACUGCUUCCACUCGAGGGGUGAGGAUUUGUGGCCCCAAAGCUGUCUGGGGAUGAGUGGAGCAAGCCUGGCAUGAGCCCCAGCUGGAGUGAACCUUUCAAAUGGAGUCAGCUUCCCUCAGGGAUGAGGAUGAGCCUUCACACCCCAUGAUCCUACACACCUGCAAGCCUCUCUUGCUCAGUGCAACAUCUGAGCACAGAGCCUUGGUUGUUGUUUGCAGGUCCCAAAUUCUCCCUUUCACGUGUAACACGGUGGCAUUAAGACCAGGGCUGCUGUUCCCACCACGCAGUAGCCACGUUUGCCACUUGGGCUAAUGAAAUGCCCAUGUUGUCUAUUAGCAGGCAAUUAUCCUGUGGUAUUUUCAAGCA